AAUGUUAUGCGCACAGACACUGUGUUUACCCUUUAUCUUCCUGGCGCGACUGACCAUCAGCAGAGCAAGAAACACUGGUAACAUCGACAUUGCUCGAACAUUUCAAAUCCUUGGACUGCUACACAACAUGGACCCUUUUUUCCAGUUUACGUUUUUAUCUUGUGCCCCAGAAAAACAACAUUGACGUGGAUGUAGACUUUCCGUUUCAGUUGGGCAUUCAAAUAACUAUUGUAAACAUUGCUCGGCCAUUGUACCAGCCUGCCAACGCGAAGAAGCCAAGGAAUCAUUAAGCUAUUCAUCACCGAAAGGCAAAGUCUCUCGACACCUAACAUGCUGCUUCCUGUGCGCUGCAAACACUUGUACAGCGUGUAAAGCCAAACUUGGAUUUUGAUCUGUAUUUCAUCAGGUGAUUGCGGCCAGAGCCUUCCGGCAAGGAAGUCGCCUUUUGUUGUUCAUCUUCUUCCUGGAUUAUUGACCAGUCCCCGACACCUGUUUUCACAAAUCGAUGCAAGGUGUUGCAUUAUUCUUCUCUGAUUUUCAAAGAUGCGGUAACCUUUGAACAGAAGCGCUCUCUCUAUGUACGUCAAACCGCAAACUAAGCCACCGUAGAAUUCUAGGAAUCCAGCGAUUUGCUGAAAUCUACUUUUGAUAUACAGGUGUUCCAUCGCACGAUUUUACGAGGACACCACGCAAUAACGCACUGAGCAGAGCAACGUCAUUCGGUUGCGCCCUCCGACCAACAAGAUGAUUAUCAGUAAAUUUACCUGUUAUUGCGUGUCACUAUGACAGUACGGCAGGCGACACAAGCGUUGCUAAUCGCUCACAGAAGCCGACAUCAAUCCCCUUUUUGUCAUUGCUAGUGACCCCUGUUGUUCCCCUCUUGUUAUAUGGCGAUGACAAGUGCGACUGCCUCCACCCGAUGAUGGAAAGAAGUGUACCAUCUUAUUCUUUUGUAGUAUACUUUAAGGAUAAUUCUUGGCAUAGAGUUGGUGAGUCUCAGCUUGAAGCAAGUCUCUAUCUUCUGUUCUCGGGUCUUUCUUUUCAAAGUAAAUGAAAUGUGUAUCAUAAAUAGAUUAAGUAGAGUCUACAUCCUUUGAAACGUUGAACGCAUA